UUGAAUCUUAAAAGUAAAAUUCAUUUUGUGUGAUUAUUUUGUAAUCAAAAGGAAGGAAUUGUAGUGGGAAUUUUAUUUUAACAUUAUUUUAACAUUAUAUUAACCAUAGGUUUGAAUCU